rnacentral:rRNA from 1 species
UACAGGGGGGGGCAAGCGUUGUUCGGAAUUACUGGGCGUAAAGGGCGCGUAGGCGGCCAGCACAAGUCAGUUGUGAAAUCUCCGGGCUUAACUCGGAAAGGUCAACUGAUACUGCGCGGCUAGAGUGCAAAAGGGGCAACUGGAAUUCUCGGUGUAGCGGUGAAAUGCGUAGAUAUCGAGAGGAACACCUGCGGCGAAGGCGGGUUGCUGGGCUGACACUGACGCUGAUGCGCGAAAGCCAGGGGAGCGAACGGG